UACGAAGGGGGCUAGCGUUGCUCGGAAUCACUGGGCGUAAAGGGUGCGUAGGCAGGUCUUUAAGUCAGGGGUGAAAUCCUGGAGCUCAACUCCAGAACUGCCUUUGAUACUGAGGAUCUUGAGUUCGGGAGAGGUGAGUGGAACUGCGAGUGUAGAGGUGAAAUUCGUAGAUAUUCGCAAGAACACCAGUGGCGAAGGCGGCUCACUGGCCCGAUACUGACGCUGAGGCACGAAAAGCGUGGGGGAGCAAACAGG
rnacentral:rRNA from 1 species